rnacentral:rRNA from 1 species
GACAGAGGAUGCAAGCGUUAUCCGGAAUUAUUGGGCGUAAAGGGUGCGUAGGCGGUUCCGCAAGUCCUGUGUGAAAUCUUCGGGCUCAACUCGAAGUCUGCACGGGAAACUGCGGGGCUUGAGUGUGGGAGAGGUGAGUGGAAUUCCCGGUGUAGCGGUGAAAUGCGCAGAUAUCGGGAGGAACACCGGUGGCGAAGGCGGUUCUCUGGGCCUGUACUGACGCUGAGGAGCGAAAGCGUGGGGAGCGAACAGG